UACGUAGGGGGCAAGCGGUUGUCCGGAUUUAUUGGGCGUAAAACGCUCGUAGGUGGCCAUGUCAAGUCGGAUGUGAAAUCUCCCGGCUCAACUGGGAGGGGUCAUUCGAUACUGGCAGGCUCGAGGCCGGUAGGGGGAAGCGGAAUUCCUGGUGUGAGCGGUGAAAUGCGCAGAUAUACAGGAGGAACACCGGUGGCGAAGGCGGGUCUCUGGACAACACCUGACACUGAGGCACGAAAGCUAGGGGAGCAAACAGG
rnacentral:rRNA from 1 species